AUGGCAGGAGCCCGGGCCAGGUUGUCACCGCGGAGGCAGCUGCGGGGACUGCGGGGAGGGCGGGCGUGGAGAAGGCCGGAGGACCCUCCGAGCUCGAGCCGCCCUGGUCCCCCCACGCGGCCGAGGGUCUCCCGGGUGGACCGCGCCCCGACGCUCCUGCCUCUGCGUCCUGGACUGCGCAGGCCGGGCAGCGUGUCCGCGCUGAGGGAGCCGGAGCGGAUUUCCGCCGGGUUUCCCUCCCUGGCUGCAGGAAUCCGCCGGAGACCGAGGCGACGCCCCGCUGGGUUUUCUCAGCAGGUGAGACUGGAGACUGAAAGCGAAAAACCUGACUGAGACUGAAAAAGUGAAAAUCAGCUCAAGCUGACAAAGGAAAAAGCAGCUCUACCUUUCAUCAGGCCGGGAGGACAAGACAGGUAAAUAAAGCCAGCUGUACCGGAAGUUAAAACCUCCUUUCCCC
rnacentral:lncRNA from 1 species